AGUAAUACUUGGGCAAUCUGCCCUUCAGUGGAAAACAACCGGCCGAAAGGCUGGCUAAUGUUCCAUAAGACCACAGGAUGGCAUCAUCCAGGGGUUAAAGCUCCGCAAGGGGCGCUAGAGGAGGAGCCCGAAUCCUAUCAUGGUAGUUGGUGAGGUAACGGCUCACCAAGCCUUCGACGGGUAGCCGGCCUGAAAGGGUGACCGGCCACACUGGCACUGAGACACGGGCCAG
rnacentral:rRNA from 1 species